CAACUACUCCCUCUGUCCCAAAUUUCUUGUCUUAGAUUUGUCUAGAUACGGAUGUAUCUAAUACUAAAAUGUGACUUGAUACAUCUGUAUCUAGACAAAUCUAAGACAAGAAUUUUUGGAUGGAGGGAGUACUUU
rnacentral:pre_miRNA from 1 species